GACGAACGCUGGCGGCGCGCUUAACACAUGCAAGUCGAGCGAGAACCAGGCUUUCGGGCCUGGGGAAAGCGGCGAACGGGUGAGUAACACGUGGGUAAUCUGCCCUCGGCACCGGAAUAGCCCGGGGAAACCCGGAUUAAUGCCGGAUAGCCUCUCGAGCCCUCGGGCUCGUGAGAAAAGGUAGCUUCGGCCUCUGGCCGAGGAGGAGCCCGCGGCGGAUUAGCUUGUUGGUGGGGUAACGGCUCACCAAGGCGACGAUCCGUAGCUGGUCUGAGAGGACGAUCAGCCACACAGGGACUGAGACACGGCCCAGACUCCUACGGGAGGCAGCAGUGGGGAAUCUUGCGCAAUGGGCGAAAGCCUGACGCAGCGACGCCGCGUGCGGGAAGAAGGCCUUCGGGUUGUAAACCGCUUUCAGGAGGGACGAAGCCACUCGGGUUAAUAGCCCAGAGGGUGACGGUACCUCCAGAAGAAGCCCCGGCUAACUACGUGCCAGCCGCCGCGGUAACAC
rnacentral:rRNA from 1 species